rnacentral:rRNA from 1 species
GCCGGCGACCAUACCUCAUUGAAAGCACCGGUUCUCCUCCGAUCACCACAGUUAAGCAACGUAGUGCCCGGUCAGUACUUGCAUGGGUGACGAGCUGGAAAUACCCGAAGACGCCGGCU